UCAACCUGAGAAACACAGCAAGACGCCAUCUCUAAAUAACUUAGAUAGAUAGAAAGAGAAAGAAAGAAAAAACAAAAAGAAAGAAAACAUGUUUGGGCCAGGGUUCUAGCUCAGUGGCACAGUGCCUGCCUGGCAAGUGUGAGGUUGUGAGCUUGAUUCCUGUUACAAAAAAAAAAAAAAAAAAAAAAAAAAAAAAAAAAAAAAAAAAAAAAAAAAAAAAGAUACAGGAGUAUUUUCUUGGAUAUGAAUCUGAAUGUCAUUAUUCCUUCUCUAUAGUAACAACAAUAAGUAUCAUUUUGGGUUCUUACUACUUGCCAGCCACCAUGGUAAGUUUCUUCUUUUCUCUCUCUUUUAAUGUACCAUCACGGUUAUCCCUCAAAAAUAAAAUCUAUGAACAUUUAUAU
rnacentral:lncRNA from 1 species